rnacentral:sRNA from 1 species
UUUUCAUUUUUCCGGGUUGUGCCGAUCCCUUGGGAGUGGCCAGACAGGGUGGUGGUGACUGAAGUUAUGAGGACAAGAACUGGGCCACGUAGCAGUUACUGAUGAUUGUAUUGAUGACUUUUUAAAGUGAGGUGCACAUCUGGGGUCAUGACACAUAGUCAUCAUAAGUGUGUGCCUGAUUUUUCUUUAAAUUUCUUUAUAUCAGUCUCCCUAAAAACAGUGUUCACACUAGUGAACCCACCACCCAAACCACGGACACUGAUAGUGCUGGACAUCUAUCGGUGGUGUGCCAGUUUGUAAGGCUGGGCCCACUUUAGGUGGGUCAAGAAGAGGGCAGAGGGCAUUCUAAGCUGAGGGGUGGGAGGGAGCAGAGGUGAGGGACUGAACUAGGCCGGGACACCCAGAGGCCGAAAGUCUGUGCCCAAGACAGAGGGGAGGCAGGAGUGGGAGCGGGCCCUGGCAUCCAUACUCUUUUUCUCCCUGUCCCCAUGCUCACCGCUCCCUCUACAUGGCCCAGGAGGCACUCUCUGGUCCCACCUGCUCUCCCAGGCGCACCCCCGACAUUCUGGGCUCAGCUCUGGCUCUACCCAGGAGAGGAUGAAGGCUCAGCUCAACCCCCACCUCAACCUCCUGACCCCAGCGAGGCUCCCCUCAGGCCAUGCCCCUGGCAAGGACAGAAUCGCCCUGGAGCCUCCUAGGACUUCUCCGAGCCUUCCCCUAGCUGGGGAGGCCCCAUCCAUCAGGCCCCAGAGGGAGGCUGAAGGUGAACCCACAGCCAGGACCAGCACCUCUGGCUCCUCGGACCUUCCAAAGGCCCCAGGUGGCCACCUGCACCUUCAAGCUAGGCGGGCUGGCCAGAACUCAGAUGCUGGGCCCCCUCGGGGGCUCACUUGGGUUCCUGAGGGGGCCGGCCCGGUGCUAGGGGGCUGUGGCCGAGGCAUGGAUCAGAGCUGCCUGUCAGCAGAUGGGGCUGGCCAGGGCUGUGGCAGGGCCACCUGGAGUGUAAGAGAGGAGCAGGUGAAGCAGUGGGCGGCAGAGACGCUGGUAGCGCUGGAGGCGCUGCACGAGCAGGGGGUGCUGUGCCGGGACCUCCACCCCGGGAACCUACUCCUGGACCAGGCAGGUAGGUGCCCUCCUCACCCCUCAGGGGGGCGGCCCCCAAAGCCUCCAGGCAGAGGACGAGAGAUCCCCAAAGUCAAGGGGACCUCCAAGGUUGUCUGCUCCUCCCUGGCCCCAGCCAGCCUUUCAGUGGGCCUAGGCUGGGGUCUGUUGGCCGAGGCUCCUGGGAGUACCCUGUGGGCUCUGUGGGCCUCAGGGUGCUGUGCCCCUGCCGAGGUUCUGCCCAGCAAGGCCAUUGGCUCCCACCGCAUGACUGUUGGGGGAAGCCCUGCAACCCCCUCCCCUGUAUCAGCUGUCCUCAAUUUUUGUCCCCUCCUUUUUCCUCCCACACACUGGAGGUCACAUCCGGCUCACAUAUUUUGGCCAGUGGUCAGAGGUGGAGCCCCAGUGCUGCGGGGAGGCCGUGGACAAUCUCUACAGCGCCCCAGAGGUGGGUGGGAUUUCCGAGCUGACGGAAGCCUGUGACUGGUGGAGCUUUGGGUCUCUACUGUAUGAACUGCUGACGGGAAUGGCACUGUCCCAGAGCCACCCUUCAGGAAUCCAGGCCCACACCCAGCUCCAGCUGCCCGAGUGGCUCAGUCGCCCAGCGGCCUCUCUGCUGACUGAGGUGAGGUGUAGCCCGGCCAGAGGAAGCAGCUGCCUAGCCUGAAGAAGGUGCUGGGAGGGGCGCAGAACUGUGUCUGAACCACAUGUGCUUCGUGCUCAGUGUCUGAUGUGGGUGCAGAGGGCAGUAGGGUCAACACAUUUCUAUAUGUUGGUGGCCAACCACCACCAAUGUCCCCAGGGUAAAAUGGGGGUUCUGUGGGCCAGGCUGCCAGGGAGCAGGCCCCCUAGAGGCCAUAGUGGUUGGAGUCCCUGGAGGUCACCCCAUGCCUCCACAGCCGGAGUGGCCCAGCUGACUGGGCCUCUCUCUGCAGCUGCUGCAGUUCGAGCCUACCCGGCGCCUGGGCAUGGGAGAAGGCGGUGUCAGCAAACUCAAGUCCCAUCCCUUUUUCAGUACCAUCCAGUGGAGCAAACUGGUGGGGUAAGAGGGCAGAGUGAGUGACAGAAGCAGCUGGCCUGGUCUGGAUCGCCUCUCCUCCUUGCCUGACACCCAACCCAGGGCUGGCCCUCUAUCAGCGGGCUUUGGGCGAGGAAUGGAGGGCACUGUCUGUCCUGCUGGGCUCCCACUGGGGCCUCAGAAUUAUGGCCACCACCCAGAAAGGGCCAGCUCCUGGAAAAGCUGGAGGUGGGGGCAGUCAAGGCUUGCCCUGCUAAGCAGCUUGAACCUUCCACCCAUCAGUCAACAGACCCGUUGAGCAUGCGGACUCACCAUGUUAAAGGUUGCCUUCUGUGGCACUGGCGCUGAGCUGUUGACCACCUGCUGCACCCUACUGUGAGGUUCUGUGACUCACUCACUGCCAUGUUGUGCCCCACUCAGGACAUCUCUGGAGACUCAUCUCAGGACACUGAUCCACUGGCUCAGUGGACCCAAACCAGACUGUCCUGGCUAGUCCUCUUAGUCACACAGCGAGUAGGCCUCUUCCACCAGAAGCUGUUCCUGCAGCUGGGGAGGCCCAGAAGCAGGGAUGCCAUCUGUUGUGUGGGGAGGGAUGAGGUAGGGGACAGGAUGACCCCCCCUCCCCAUUCUUGACCAUGCCCCCUAUCUUGAUUUCAGACUUGGGAGAGCAAAAGGGAGGGGAAGAAAAUAAGAGGAAUGGGGGGAGGAAUGAAUGCAUGGCUCUGCCCCUUAGAGCAAGUCUGAAACCAGAAUCAAGAGUACUCCUCCCCAGUGGGCCCAUCUGUGUGGGGGAAGGGGGGCAGCCUGCCCCAGGGGUGCAAGAGGACAGCAAUUCAGCCUCCAGGCCAAAGCAGCUGAGACACGGUGUGCCCAUCAGGACUCCCUCUCAGGCCUUGGCUGUUUACCAUGUCACUGCCUACUGUGACUUCAUGCCCUUUUGGGAUAAGAAACCACAAAACGCAUGGAACAACUAUCCAUGGCUCUUAGCCAGAAAUGUUUUGCUUCUGGUCUCUGAAAAACUGGGGUGAGUGGUUACCCCAAAAACAAUCGCCCCCAGUUUGGGGGCUCCUCUCAGGGUUCACCCUGUCACCGGGGUGUGGGACCGACCUGGGAAAUUUCCACUAGACUUUUGCCCUCAGCUCCUCCCUGCCAGCAUCCCAGUCACCACCAGGUGGCGCUUCCGACACAGUCCACCUGCCUGGCUCUGAAGGCCCAACUCUGUCAGGCCAGACUCCUGUCACUCAUGGUGGGGAGACUUGACUUCCUUGGGCUCUUCAGGAGACAGAGAGGACAAGUGAAAGCGCAGCCUGUACAUGACUCUCUGUGGUCCACGUCCUGCCUCUCCCUGGGGUUUACGCAGCCCCAAUAAAGCCUGCUCUGGCCU